rnacentral:rRNA from 1 species
UACGUAGGGUGCAAGCGUUGUCCGGAAUUAUUGGGCGUAAAGAGCUCGUAGGCGGUCUGUCACGUCGGCUGUGAAAUCCCGAGGCUCAACCUCGGGUCUGCAGUCGAUACGGGCAAACUAGAGUAUUGCAGGGGAGACUGGAAUUCCUGGUGUAGCGGUGAAAUGCGCAGAUAUCAGGAGGAACACCGGUGGCGAAGGCGGUGCUCUGGGCCAGUACUGACGCUGAGGAGCGAAAGCGUGGGUAGCAAACAGG